UGGACAAUGUAGUAACGAGUUUAUGGCUAAUUAAGAAAUCCUGGAGUUAUUGGAAUAAUGUGCGGUCUUAAAAUGAAUCGAAAUAAUGAAUUGGAAGGACAGUCUUGGAUCUUAUUAGGAGUGUUAAGUUGCCUACUUGGGGUUACUUUAUCAGGCAGCGUGUCUGGUUAUCAUACUCUAAUGCGAUACCGUCGAGAUCUGAGAGCCACAAAUCUUGGGUAGCCAUGGAGACAUCUUAUGGUAGCCAUCAAACCAGUGAAGUU